UACGUAGGUGGCAAGCGUUGUCCGGAUUUACUGGGCGUAAAGAGCGCGCAGGCGGCCGAGUAAGUCGGAUGUGAAAGCCCCCGGCUCAACUUGGGAAGGUCAUUCGAUACUGUUCGGCUCGAAGAUAGGAGAGGGAAGCGGAAUUUCAGGUGUAGUGGUGAAAUGCGUAGAUAUCUGAAGGAACACCAGUGGCGAAGGCGGCUUUCUGGCCUAUUCUUGACGCUGAGGCGCGAAAGCUAGGGGAGCGAACGGG
rnacentral:rRNA from 1 species